rnacentral:sRNA from 1 species
GUAAGCAUAUACUAAUAACUUAAGUGGUGCUUUGGUGUUCCCCUAGAAUAUCUAGGAUGUUAAAGCUAAAGAAUACCAUCGCUUAAGACAUUGCUUAC